rnacentral:rRNA from 1 species
UAGACCGCCUGGGGAGUACGGCCGCAAGGUUAAAACUCAAAUGAAUUGACGGGGGCCCGCACAAGCGGUGGAGCAUGUGGUUUAAUUCGAUGCAACGCGAAGAACCUUACCUGGUCUUGACAUCCACGGAAGUUUUCAGAGAUGAGAAUGUGCCUUCGGGAACCGUGAGACAGGUGCUGCAUGGCUGUCGUCAGCUCGUGUUGUGAAAUGUUGGGUUAAGUCCCGCAACGAGCGCAACCCUUAUCCUUUGUUGCCAGCGGUUAGGCCGGGAACUCAAAGGAGACUGCCAGUGAUAAACUGGAGGAAGGUGGGGAUGACGUCAAGUCAUCAUGGCCCUUACGACCAGGGCUACACACGUGCUACAAUGGCGCAUACAAAGAGAAGCGACCUCGCGAGAGCAAGCGGACCUCAUAAAGUGCGUCGUAGUCCGGAUUGGAGUCUGCAACUCGACUCCAUGAAGUCGGAAUCGCUAGUAAUCGUGGAUCAGAAUGCCACGGUGAAUACGUUCCCGGGCCUUGUACACACCGCCCGUCACACCAUGGGAGUGGGUUGCAAAAGAAGUAGGUAGCUUAACCUUCGGGAGGGCGCUUACCACUUUGUGAUUCAUGACUGGGGUGAAGUCGUAACAAGGUAACCGUAGGGGAACCUGCGGUUGGAUCACCUCCUUA